UGUUCUUUGUUUUGUUUGCCUUAG
rnacentral:miRNA from 1 species